CCUACGGGUGGCAGCAGUGGGGAAUAUUGGGCAAUGGGCGCAAGCCUGACCCAGCAACGCCGCGUGAAGGAAGAAGGCUUUCGGGUUUUAAACUUCUUUUAAGGGGGAAGUGCAGAGGGCGGUACCUCUUGAUUAGGCCAUGGCUAAGUACGUGCCAGCAGCCGCGGCAAUACGAAGGUGGCAAGCGUUGUCCGGAUUUACUGGGUGUAAAGGGCGUGUAGCCGGGCUGACAAGUCAGCUGUGAAAUCCCGUGGCUCAACCACGGAACUGCAGUGGAAACUGUCGGUCUUGAGUAUCGGAGAGGCAGGCGGAAUUCCUAGUGUAGCGGUGAAAUGCGUAGAUAUUAGGAGGAACACCAGUGGCGAAGGCGGCCUGCUGGACGGCAACUGACGGUGAGGCGCGAAAGCGUGGGGAGCAAACAGGAUUAGAUACCCGAGUAGUC
rnacentral:rRNA from 1 species